rnacentral:rRNA from 1 species
UACGAAGGGGGCUAGCGUUGCUCGGAAUCACUGGGCGUAAAGCGCACGUAGGCGGCUUGUUAAGUCAGGGGUGAAAUCCUGGAGCUCAACUCCAGAACUGCCUUUGAUACUGGCGAGCUUGAGUCCGGGAGAGGUGAGUGGAACUGCGAGUGUAGAGGUGAAAUUCGUAGAUAUUCGCAAGAACACCAGUGGCGAAGGCGGCUCACUGGACCGGUAUUGACGCUGAUGUGCGAAAGCGUGGGGAGCAAACAGG